rnacentral:rRNA from 2 species
GUGAUAUGAACCGUUAUAACCGGCGAUACCCGAAUGGGGAAACCCAGUGUGACUCGUCACACUAUCAUUAACUGAAUCCAUAGGUUAAUGAGGCGAACCGGGGGAACUGAAACAUCUAAGUACCCCGAGGAAAAGAAAUCAACCGAGAUUCCCCCAGUAGCGGCGAGCGAACGGGGAGGAGCCCAGAGCCUGAAUCAGCAUGUGUGUUAGUGGAAGCGUCUGGAAAGGCGCGCGAUACAGGGUGACAGCCCCGUACACAAAAGCGCAUGUGCUGUGAGCUCGAUGAGUAGGGCGGGACACGUGGUAUCCUGUCUGAAUAUGGGGGGACCAUCCUCCAAGGCUAAAUACUCCUGACUGACCGAUAGUGAACCAGUACCGUGAGGGAAAGGCGAAAAGAACCCCGGCGAGGGGAGUGAAAAAGAACCUGAAACCGUGUACGUACAAGCAGUGGGAGCCCCACCACCAAAGCAUUUGCUGUACCGCGUUGACGGAGCGAAGCGACGUCAAACCGAUAAAACAGCAGUGUAAAGUGAGCCGCAGGGCGCUUUGCGCGACAGCGCAAAGGCAGGCGGUUUCGCGUAGCGAAAGCGAAUGCUUUGGGGUGGGGUGACUGCGUACCUUUUGUAUAAUGGGUCAGCGACUUAUAUUCUGUAGCAAGGUUAACCGAAUAGGGGAGCCGGAGGGAAACCGAGUCUUAAUUGGGCGUUAAGUUGCAGGGUAUAGACCCGAAACCCGGUGAUCUAGCCAUGGGCAGGUUGAAGGUUGGGUAACACUAACUGGAGGACCGAACCGACUAAUGUUGAAAAAUUAGCGGAUGACCUGUGGCUGGGGGUGAAAGGCCAAUCAAACCGGGAGAUAGCUGGUUCUCCCCGAAAGCUAUUUAGGUAGCGCCUCGUGAAUUCAUCUCCGGGGGUAGAGCACUGUUUCGGCUAGGGGGCCAUCCCGGCUUACCAACCCGAUGCAAACUGCGAAUACCGGAGAAUGUUAUCACGGGAGACACACGGCGGGUGCUAACGUCCGUCGUGAAGAGGGAAACAACCCAGACCGCCAGCUAAGGUCCCAAAGUCAUGGUUAAGUGGGAAACGAUGUGGGAAGGCCCAGACAGCCAGGAUGUUGGCUUAGAAGCAGCCAUCAUUUAAAGAAAGCGUAAUAGCUCACUGGUCGAGUCGGCCUGCGCGGAAGAUGUAACGGGGCUAAACCAUGCACCGAAGCUGCGGCAGCGACACUGUGUGUUGUUGGGUAGGGGAGCGUUCUGUAAGCCUGUGAAGGUGUGUCGUGAGGCAUGCUGGAGGUAUCAGAAGUGCGAAUGCUGACAUAAGUAACGAUAAAGCGGGUGAAAAGCCCGCUCGCCGGAAGACCAAGGGUUCCUGUCCAACGUUAAUCGGGGCAGGGUGAGUCGACCCCUAAGGCGAGGCCGAAAGGCGUAGUCGAUGGGAAACGGGUUAAUAUUCCCGUACUUGGUGUUACUGCGAAGGGGGGACGGAGAAGGCUAUGUUGGCCGGG